rfam:Schistosoma rodhaini strain Burundi genome assembly, scaffold: SROB_scaffold0000811
AUCCACCUGACGAGCCCCAAAUAGGACGGAACGCGCGUCCUGGAU